UAAGGUUGCAAACGAGCAAACGUGUCACUUGAUAGAAAGCGACUACCGUCGCCUAUGAACACUCGGAACAUCAGAAGAGCUGCAGGUGCAUUGCCGGCCUUUUAAGAGCGA